AGUUAUGCAAACAGUCGUCAAGCGUAUCAAUUGGUACAUUUAAAAAUGUCGAACACUGGGUUAUCAGUGAAAUGAUACACAAAGUACUCGCGAUCUUAAACCUUGAGUUCCCCAAUCAGUAAAUAGCUGGGAGCUAAAAUUUUCCACAGAGCUUUCACUGCUAAAGCAAAGGUUUGCUAAAACUAUCAGUUUAACCGAUAGCCGAUUAUCGCCGGCUAAAGUAAAUAUGAAAAACUAUAGUACGAAUUGUGGACGUAGGUAGUCAAUAAUGGUUUAAAAUGCAAGUCUCUGUAUUGACGUGGUUUUUAUUAAUUUACUACUUCUAUUCUGUUAAUGGUCUCGUGUGCUAUGAUUGCUUUUCUUCUUCCGUCGGGUUCUGUGCGAAACGAUUUCGAGGCAACAAGGUGUCGAGAGCCAUUUGUCUGAGUGCGGAAACCGUUUGUUAUGUACAAAAAGACGUUAGAUCAGGCAUUACGGCCGUGACGAGAAACUGUGGAUUGCCUAAUCACUGCAUAAACAAAACGGACUGUACAACGUGUUCAUCGUUUUUGUGCAAUUCUGCAAGGGCAUCAACAUACCAUGCAGAAAUUACCUUUAGUGCCUUGCUAAUACUCGCAGUUUAUUAUACACGUUUGCCAUAAUCCUGGAUAACACCAGUGAAAAUUUUGGAAUGAAGAUGAUCUGCAUCACUGCACAACCAACAGCACCUGCUUGACCUUCCAGUGUGGGUUGUUUUGAUUGCAGAAUUUAUCGAUGAAAGUAUUCAUCUUUGUAGCUAAUUAAGUAAUGUUGUCUUUGCUUGGUAAUCAAUGGAUUACCUACUCUUUACCAUAUGACUUAAAAGAAAAAAAGGAAAAAGUAGAAUGUCAUAUUCUAAAUGUUAAAGGAAAGCAAUUUUCUUGUAUUAAAA